AUUGAACGCUGGCGGCAUGCCUUACACAUGCAAGUCGAACGGUAACGGGUCCUUCGGGAUGCCGACGAGUGGCGAACGGGUGAGUAAUAUAUCGGAACGUGCCCAGUAGUGGGGGAUAACUGCUCGAAAGAGCAGCUAAUACCGCAUACGACCUGAGGGUGAAAGGGGGGGAUCGCAAGACCUCUCGCUAUUGGAGCGGCCGAUAUCAGAUUAGCUAGUUGGUGGGGUAAAGGCAUACCAAGGAAACGAUCUGUAGUUGGUCUGAGAGGACGACCAGCCACACUGGGAAUGAGACACGGCCCAGACUCCUACGGGAGGCAGCAGUGGGGAAUUUUGGACAAUGGGCGCAAGCCUGAUCCAGCAAUGCCGCGUGCAGGAAGAAGGCCUUCGGGUUGUAAACUGCUUUUGUCAGGGAAGAAAUCUUCUGGGCUAAUACCCCGGGAGGAUGACGGUACCUGAAGAAUAAGCACCGGCUAACUACGUGCCAGCAGCCGCGGUAA
rnacentral:rRNA from 1 species